rnacentral:lncRNA from 1 species
UAGCAAAUCUCAGAGUUGCAGUAAUAACAAGACGUAUAAAUGGUUAUUUGGGGAGGCCAGUUUGAGGAUGGAGAAGGGCCUGAGUUUGCUCUUGGUCACAUACUCUAUCUUUUAAGUAGAGUUUAAAAAGUUCAUUUCAGAUUCAUUCCACAGGACCUCUUCCAGGUUAGAAAUAACUCACUUCACCUUUUUGAUUCUGACUUCCAAUUUUGGUUUCAUCUUGUUAGCCAAAACGACCUACUUUUGGAUUAUCACCAACAUACUCUCAUACUUGUUUUUGCUCAUUUCAGUUUCUCUACUUUUUCUACAGGUCAAAGAUUGCUCACUUGCUCAUUUCAGUUUCAACAAAAAAAAAAAAAAACGGAUUGCUCACUUGCAUGAUUUUUUUUUUUUUUUUUUUUUAAACAUCACAACGAUGGAUGGAUAUCUUGGUUACACAAUCAAAAUUACAAUACAAGAGAUUAAGAGGGGAAAAAAAGGCAAAAAUUCAAAACAUAAAACUCAAAUCUUUCAUUUGCAAUCUUCGAUUACCAGAUAUAUGACCCGCUGGCCUCGUGUUCGCGAAAACAAAUGUGAAUGGUGGGAAUUAUAGAGAUCUGAUGAAAAUGCAGAAGCUUUAUUCAAUCAUUUGCAAUAAUAAUGGUAUCAUGAUAAGUUCCCAGUAGUUAGGGAGUGACUCAACUCAAUUCUUGCAACUGCCAGCUUUGUUUAUGUUUAGGCCUUUGGCUUGAGCGGCUUGACGACCUCCCAAGUGAAGUCAGGGUCAUCACGCCCGAAAUGGC